rnacentral:lncRNA from 1 species
UACCCCUUUGAGCCAAGUAGAAAAGCUGCACAAAAGCUGAAAGAUCUGGAGAUUAUCAUUUAUACAGCAGGUGUAGGAAGUUCCGUUAAUGUUGAAGAAUUAAAAAAUGUGGCCACAAAUGCAUCUUAUUACUUCAAUGCAGACAAUUACGACUCACUGGAAAAUGUUACAGGACCAUUGACGUCGUCAGCUUGUAAAGAAACUGGCGGCUGCACUUGCGAAAAUGGAGGAACUUGUAUCCAGGGAAACUUUGGAAAGUAUUGUUCCUGUCCAGUCAUCUAUACCGGAUCUAAUUGCGACAAAUCAAUAUGUAAUGAAUCCCCGUGCGUCAAUGGAGAAUGCGGUGUUUCCGGCGAUGCUUGGUUUUGUUCGUGUCAAGCUGGGUACACAGGAACUCUUUGUGACAGCA